rnacentral:rRNA from 1 species
GAUGAAUGCUGGCGGCGUGCCUAAUACAUGCAAGUCGAGCGGUAACAGGGCUUCACCGUUUCCUUGACACACCUAGCGCUUCUAUCGUAGGUUGGUUCGAUUCGAGGGAACAGUGAAGCUGCUGACGAGCGGCGGACGGCUGAGUAACGCGUGGGAACGUACCCCAAACUGAGGGAUAACGCACCGAAAGGUGUGCUAAUACCGCAUAUGAUCUUCGGAUUAAAGCUUUCGGGCGGUUUGGGAAUGGCCUGCGUACGAUUAGAUAGUUGGUAGGGUAACGGCCUACCAAGUCGACGAUCGUUAGAUGGUUUGAGAAGAUGAUCAUCCAGACUGGGACUGAGACACGGCCCAG